UCUCCGUUGGUGAACCAGCGGAGGGAUCAUUGCUGGAAGCGUCUCACGGCGCACCCAGAUACCCUUUGUGAACUUAUACCUUACUGUUGCCUCGGCGCAUGCCGGCCCCCCUGGGGGCCCCUCCUUCUGGAGGAGCAGGCACGCCGGCGGCCAACCUAACUCUUGUUUUUACACUGAAACUCUGAGAAUAAAACAUAAAUGAAUCAUAACUUUCAACAACGGAUCUCUUGGUUCUGGCAUCGAUGAAGAACGCAGC
rnacentral:misc_RNA from 1 species